GACGAACGCUGGCGGCGUGCUUAACACAUGCAAGUCGAACGGCAAGGCCCUGCUUUUGUGGGGUGCUCGAGUGGCGAACGGGUGAGUAACACGUGAGUAACCUGCCCUUGACUUUGGGAUAACUUCAGGAAACUGGGGCUAAUACCGGAUAGGAGCUCCUGCUGCAUGGUGGGGGUUGGAAAGUUUCGGCGGUUGGGGAUGGACUCGCGGCUUAUCAGCUUGUUGGUGGGGUAGUGGCUUACCAAGGCUUUGACGGGUAGCCGGCCUGAGAGGGUGACCGGCCACAUUGGGACUGAGAUACGGCGCAGACUCCUACGGGAGGCAGCAGUGGGGAAUAUUGCACAAUGGGAGGAAGCCUGAUGCAGCAACGCCGCGUGCGGGAUGACGGCCUUCGGGUUGUAAACCGCUUUCGCCUGUGACGAAGCGUGAGUGACGGUAAUGGGUAAAGAAGCACCGGCUAACUACGUG
rnacentral:rRNA from 1 species